CCAGCUCCAAAAGCGUAUAUUAAAGUUGUUGCAGUUAAAAAGCUCGUAGUUGGAUUUCUGGCACGGUGCGCCUGGUCCGCGCCGCCCUCGUUGGUGGUGUGUGUACCGGUUCGCGCGCCUGCCAUCCUCGGACCGGGUGCGCGGCUUCCCUUCACUGGGCGGCCGCGAUAGCUCGCCGUCUUCUACUUUGAGUAAAUCGAGUGGUUCAAACAAGGCGUUGUCGCCGUGAACAGAUUAGCAUGGAAUAAUAAGAUAGGACUUGGGUUCUAUUUUGUUGGUUUCUAGGGCCGAAGUAAUGAUUGACAGGGACAGUUGGGGGUGCUGGUAUUCACGGGCCAGAGGUGAAAUUCUUGGAUUCCGUGAAGACCAACUUAUGCGAAAGCAUUCACCAAGGAUGUCUUCU
rnacentral:rRNA from 1 species